GAUGAACGCUGGCGGCGUGCCUAAUACAUGCAAGUCGAACGCAUAGCGAAAGGUGCUUGCACCUUUCAAGUGAGUGGCGAACGGGUGAGUAACACGUGGACAACCUGCCUCAAGGCUGGGGAUAACAUUUGGAAACAGAUGCUAAUACCGAAUAAAACUUAGUGUCGCAUGACACAAAGUUAAAAGGCGCUUCGGCGUCACCUAGAGAUGGGUCCGCGGUGCAUUAGUUAGUUGGUGGGGUAAAGGCCUACCAAGACAAUGAUGCAUAGCCGAGUUGAGAGACUGAUCGGCCACAUUGGGACUGAGACACGGCCCAAACUCCUACGGGAGGCUGCAGUAGGGAAUCUUCCACAAUGGGCGAAAGCCUGAUGGAGCAACGCCGCGUGUGUGAUGAAGGCUUUCGGGUCGUAAAGCACUGUUGUAUGGGAAGAACAGCUAGAAUAGGAAAUGAUUUUAGUUUGACGGUACCAUACCAGAAAGGGACGGCUAAAUACGUG
rnacentral:rRNA from 1 species